CAAGUAAAACAAAAUCUGUAGGCUUCAAAAGUGGCCAGGUGUAAGCUUUAUUUGGCCAGAAUCAAGUGUUGCUGCUGUCUGUCUCCAGUUUGAGAGCAUGACAAAAAAAUAUGCAGGGAACUUAUGGCACCAACAGCAUAGGGAAAUAACUUAAAGAAUACUUCUUAAAUUCUCUGAGCUGCUUACUUUGCUCUGAGUCUCCUUCCAACUGAUUUAACAGCAUUAAUUGGGCUGUAACCCCUGGAUGCAGGCAUACCUGAGCUAGCUGUAAGAUCAAAAGAACUUGUACAUGGCCAAGCCCCUUGCAGUAGACUUGAUCCACUUCCAAAACAGAGCCAGGGACUGUAACACUGGCAUAGCAAGAAACAUUAGCUGAGGUGAGUGGCU
rnacentral:lncRNA from 1 species